rnacentral:rRNA from 1 species
GUGGGGAAUAUUGGACAAUGGGCGCAAGCCUGAUCCAGCCAUGCCGCGUGAGUGAUGAAGGUCUUCGGAUCGUAAAGCUCUGUGGGAAGGGACGAAAAAAUCCGACCUAAUACGUCGGGUCUUGACGGUACCUUCUUAGCAAGCACCGGCUAACUCCGUGCCAGCAGCCGCGGUAAUACGGAGGGUGCAAACGUUGCUCGGAAUUAUUGGGCGUAAAGCGCGCGUAGGCGGUGCGCUAAGUCGGAUGUGAAAGCCCUCGGCUCAACCGAGGAAGUGCAUCCGAAACUAGCGCGCUAGAGUACGGAAGAGGGUUUCGGAAUUCCCGGUGUAGAGGUGAAAUUCGUAGAUAUCGGGAGGAACACCAGUGGCGAAGGCGGAAACCUGGGCCGAUACUGACGCUGAGGCGCGAAAGCGUGGGGAGCAAACAGGAUUAGAAACCCCAGUAGUCC